rnacentral:lncRNA from 1 species
UAAGCAAAGCCUUUGCCUCUCUCUCUCUCUCUCUCUCUCUCUUCCCUGUUUUUCUUAUUAACCCCACCAUCAAAUGUCCCCAACCUGCAACAGAUUCACCAAACAAAAACUAAAAAACAAACUAACUCCUACGGAAAAACAAAAGUCACUCUUUUCAUCUUAUCCCCCACCCUCUUUCCUCCCUCUAUUCCCUUCUCUUUCUGUUCUUCCAUCCCAAAAUUCAAGUGAGAAGAGAAAGAACAUAUGUGGCAAGCUCAUGCCUGCAAGUCUUCUUAUGGAGAAUCCAUCAAAGCUCUUGAAGCUGAUAUCCAACAUGCCAAUACCUUGUGAGUCUCUUUUUUCUCUAAUUUUUUUUUUUUUGUUGGUGAUCAAUCAAAACUGUGGAAUAAUCCAUAUGCAUUUUCCUCUUCUGGGUAGUUUGUUGGGUAGUUAAUCCAACUGAAUUGUGGUUGUUGGGUAGUGCUUAUCAUUUUGAGAGAGAAGGUAAAGUUGGAUUUUUUUUUUCCCUAAACAUUUAAGUUCGAUACUGUUUCCUUAAGGCUUUUUAUGUGAGAAAUUUUCCAGCUUUAUAUACAUUACUGCUUUUAUGUUGCCAAUUUAAUUGCUUCUCUGGAAAAAAAAGAAAAAUCCCACAGGCUGUUCUUAUUUUUCUACCCAAAUGAAGCUCAAAUAUUUUUUGAUUUUUUUUUUCCAUUUGUUUUUGGGAUGGAUUUUGUUGCAGGGCAGCUGCUCUUCCCAGAGAUUAUGGUGGGAACUGUAUCCAAAUGAGAUUGUCUUACAGCCCCUUUGCACCUUUCUUCCUGUAUCUCAUUGAAUGGAUGGAUUGUAGUUGCACUGAUGUACUUCCCAAUUAUUUAGGCCUUCUCCACAUCCUUGUACACAAGGUGGGCUGCUCUUCCGUUUCAUGCUUUAUUCGUUUUACUUCCCAGUUGCCUGCUGCAGAAAGACAAUCUUUUGUUUCCUAAAGACCGAAAUUAAGCUUUACGAUAUUGUACAGGUAUAUGUCGAUGGGAUGCCUUCAUUGUCCUCCAAAGAACAGAAGGUCACUUUAAGGGAAUUUUACGGUAUGUUAUUCUCUUGUUAGCUUCUUAUUGAAAACAUACCGGUUCUUGGAAGAAUUGUUUUUGACAUAGCGGUGAAUUCUGCUGGAAAUCAAUGCAGCUGUAAUAUACCCUUAUCUUAGGCAACUUGAAGGCGAAUUUAACGAACUGGAAGAUAAUAAUAAUAAGAGAAGUCGAUGCACAGAUGUUUUGGGCAGAAAGAGGAUGGAAGACCAAAGGAAGCUUUCGGAUAAAGAUCUUGAGAGAGAAGAUGAAUGUGGGAUAUGCAUGGAAAACUGUACAAAGAUGGUGUUGCCUGACUGUGGGCAUUCCAUGUGCCUCACCUGCUUCCAUGAUUGGUAUGAUCAAUUUCCAUCUUCACUUGUUUGCUUAUUAGCGAACUGAAAAUCAUUUUGCUUACCGGUGAGGUAACCUGUGGAAAAUAUUUAUUCUGUAAUGUGCCUGAUUUGCAGGAAUGCAAGAUCGAAAUCCUGCCCUUUUUGCCGCGGCAGCCUAAAGAGUGUUAGCUCCAGAGAUUUGUGGGUUCUCACUAGCAUCGGUGAUGUUAUUGAUGCAGUAACCCUUGCGCAGGAGAACCUAAGACGUUUCUAUCUUUAUAUUGAAAAUCUACCUGUAAUUGUGCCGGCAACGCAUAUUGUGGUAUACGAUUACAUGCUCUGACUCACAACAUGAAGAAUGAAGUUGCAAAGUACACAAAUUACUCAUUACCCCAAUGUAUAUAUAGCCUAAUAUAGGGAAGUUCAAUGUAAACUACCAUGCCGGGUUGACGAGCUGUCUCAUGGUAGCUGUAUAUAGUCAACUAAAGUACCGAAUGCCUGUUUUCAGACGAUAAGCUGGUAGCUUUGGAGAUUCUUGAGUUGCAUAUGAGACUAUGGGAGCAUCCUGCCCAUCUCCAAUGACUAAGGCACCUGCAAGUCUCUGGCGGAAGCCCUGGAUAUAUGUAUAUAUAACAGGUAAGCCUGGCAUUCAACUCAGCUUUUUGGAACCUGAGUGUUGGAAUGGAAGUAAUCAUGGUUUCUGCUCAAUUACUUGAUGAUCUCUUAUAAAUUAAUGAAGUUUACAGUAUUUAUAUACCACUUGAUAACAGAAUGUAAGUGCUUAUGCUACUGCAAUAGAAUUAUUUCGUUAAGAAUGUCAUGUCACGAUGGAACUUCGUUUUAAUGAAACUCAUUAUAUAUAUAUAUACGAGUUUUAAAUCUUCGGUGCAUUGGAGAUGCUCUCAGUAGAGUCAUAGUAAGAUUAACCUCGAGGGAGUUGGUUUAAUGGCCAGGAUUUUGUUUAAAAAAGCAACAAUCCUGAGCUUGAUUGUGCUCCAAUCCAGCUCUACAAGUCGCCAUCAGUAGAUUUUCCCCGCUGAGCAUCGGUCAAUGUAGGACGAGAGAUUGGCUGUGCCGUGAAGAUAGCAGAAUGCUCGAAGAGGGGGUGAUUGGGGAUACCUUUGUGCCUACCUUGUGAUGAUGAAAACACACAUAUCAUCCCCUCAACAGGAAGCAAACUACUAUGCCUUUAUGCUAAAUCCUGCUGUUUAACAUCACUGGAUGGCUUUAAGGGACCUGGUUGAGUAACUUCUGUUACAGCUAAACCAAGGUUGUUUUAUGUAGUUAUUGGCAUGCAAUAUUUUUAGGGUGGUGUUGUCCACACCCUCAUUUUUUACUUCUCAUGCACCUCACAAUUUUCGGCCGUCGGAUCAAAUGAAUUGAAGAAAAUCAAUGGACAAAAAUUAACAAAUAAAUGUAUACGGGAGAUAAAAAGAGAUGUGUGAAUAGCACUAUGCUAUUUCCAUCUGUGUUAUGUCUCACAUAAUUAAAAAGGGAAAAAUAUCAGUAAUAAAAUUGCGCUAAGCCACAAUAUGUUACUAAUGUAAAUACACAAGCAAAGUUUGUAUUAGUGAAUUGGUAAUAAUACGUGACGGUGAGACAAUCAUACUAUAAAUCACUCUUAAAUUCCCAAGCAGUAGGCCUGGCAUUUUGGACCCAACCCGUUAACCCGACCCGACCCAAUCCGUUAAUAUUUGUAUUUGGGUGGAUGCUUAACGGGUCGGGUCUCUAACGGAUGAACCCGUUAACAACCCGUUAAAUAACGGGUCACUUUGGGUCAACCCGUUAGACCUGUUAGGACCCGUUAGCACCCGUUAGUUGAGGAUAUUUUAGUAAUUUUAGUAAAGUCUUAAUAACAAAAAAUAAACUUUAUGCAAAAAAUAAUAAUAAUAAUAAUUGUUAGUGAAUGACCCGUUAGCUUAACGGGUCAGGUUCGGGUGACCCGUUAGCUUAACAAGUUGGGUUCGGAUUAUCCGUUAACUUAACGGGUCGGGUUCACCCCGACCCGUUUACAGGUCUACCAAGCAAUGUAGUAAAGGAAUUUUUGCCCGGCUGCCAAAUUGUCUCAUCAUCAUUCAGAUUGGGCCUCCGAAUCAAUACAACGAUACUUCUCAACCCAUCAACCCAACUAAAAUUGCUUGGGUCCAAAAACAACUGCUAAGAUAAUAAGAUUUAUAAACAAUGCUAACAAAGGCAUAAAGUUAACUAGUUAAGUGGUGGCAAACAUACGAGAAAAACUUGGAUAAGGUAAGCCGAAAGAUAGAUAGUCAAACACUUUUACAAGGGAGUGAGCCCUUCUCUAUACAAAAAAACAUACCGUAAUAUUCUUGUGAGAAUGGCCUUGACUAGACCUUACUGAAGUUUUUCUCCGGACGUAUUCUUAGAAUGGUUGUUCAUGGUAUUCAACAUCACUGCAACAGUUAAAAGGGGGAGUGAAAACAAAAACAAUAUAAGUAAAAACAAAAGAAAGAAUACAGAGGUAAAGAAGAGGGGAAGCAUCGUAGGAGAGCAUAAGGGGAGAGUCAUAUUCUUUUAACUUUUAAAUUAACAAAUAAAAAGGCAGUCCACUGAUGAGAAGUUGCAUGGAGUUCAUCUCCCUAGUUCCUUAGACACCAAUCAUGCUCACCCUCUCUUUUAGUAAAUUAUUGUAGAAUUUCUAAGUGGGCAUUUCCUUUUAGAGCCAUUGAGUUUUUAUUUCUUCAAAGUCCUUUUCUACCCCACUCUCCUAAAAGUAUGCCUUUAAAGGCUUAUAAUUCCCUAAAGUUUUUUUAGAGUUGUAGGUGAAAAAAUAUAGAAGGUUAAUGGCUCACCCACUAAUUAAUGAGGUUCAAACAUGUAUUUAGGCUCACACCACAUGUCAAUUAUUUGCAUUUUUGUAUGACACAAAGUGGAGGAGGAACUUACAUAUAAUGAGAAUAUCAUUAUCAUUGCGGUGAUCUUUAAGUCAAUAACGACUGUCAUGUAAUAAAGUUAAAAUACAUGAUAGUGUAUGAUUAGUCUGAGAAAUUGACUCUACAUAUCACUAACAAUGUGCAUGAUAUUUUAAAGUCAAUCACCCACUUAGGGGCGAAUCCACCUUUGAGACAAGGUGGGUCAAAUGACUCCUCCAAGUUCAAAAAUCCUCCAUGAAAGAGUUGGGUGUUGCCCUUUGAAAAUUUGAGAUGCCCUUGAAAUAUGUCCUCCAACUGCUUGACGAAUUGCCUUUAUGAGCACUAGGCAGGGUAGCUGUUAGCCUCAUACCAAUGUAUGCUUUUCUAUGGUCCCUUUCGAUAGACGCACUUGGUAUAUGUUAGCAUUUGUCGCCGUGCUCGCUUAAAAGCUAUUGACAUCAAUCAAUAUGCUCGCUCGAAAGUUGUUGGUAUUUGUUGACAUGCAUGCAAUAUGACUCGAAAAAUGACCCUAGGCCUAUCACGACUCAAUGAAAUGCCAAUUUGGUAACUAUUUUGUCCAAAAUAUUUUGCGUGCUACUUGCGCUAUUCUUACUGACCCUCCCAAUAAUAUUUCUUAGAUUUGCCACUGCUUGCAGUGUCAUGUAAUAAAGUUAAAAUGCAUGAUAUUGUAUAAUUAGUUUGAGAGACUGUUGUAGUGUCAUUCUGUUGUAUGGUAUGACAACGUAUGAUUAACUUAAGAUAUUGUCACAGUGAUAAAUAUAUCGUGGUCGUAUGUAUGUGCAUAUAUAUAUAUAUAUGCAAGUGUCUCUUUCACAAAGUGCGCAAGGAAAUCUUGUUCUUGCUGGGUUGCUGGUUGGUCAAGAAACUUAAUUAAGUGAUCAUUGGCACAAAUUAAACCAUCUUUUAAAUUAAAUGGAGUUUCAGAAAAGAUGCCACUUUAUUUUGCACCAAUAUGGAGCAAAUGGCACUAUACUGGCUUCAAUAUUUUUCUGCUUAGGGGCAUCGUGGCCUCAAUUCACGAUAAUGAUUAGCCCGUCUUAAUCUUAAAUAUUUCAAAAAAAUCUGCAAACUCUGCCAUUACCUUUUUUAAGCAUGAAUCCUCUUAUGUCACUGAGUGCAUGUCAUCUAUCUAGUGGCCUUGUUAGCUAUUGGAGUGAUUAGAAAGUAGAUUAAGGACUAAUUCUUUUGUUAAAGUUAGAUGUUCCUUCGAGAUUAAUUAGCAUCAUGAACGUUCCUUAAUUGUGAUGUUAAACUUAAUGUGGGUUAGAAUCUCUCUAAUUUAAUGUUUAAAACUUGACAAAAAAACCAAGAGUGAAAACCACGCACUAAUGAAAUGGAGACAAAACACACUGCUUGUGUAAGCUGAUUGCUAAUGUCAAUGUAAACAACACAAGGAUGUUUUGUCCUUAUCUUAUUGCAUCAUGAGUUAUUUAAUACUAGUGAAAGAAGAGAUUUUUCAAGAUGACUGAAACAUGGAGCGUUACGCUACGUUAUACAAUUGGAGAAAAGUUUUUUUUUUUGUUUUUUUCAAAUGCCCCUCUAAUUGUAUAAUGAGAUGUGGUGUAUUGCCCCGUGUUCCAAUCACAAUGAAAAUCUCUGUAUAUUAAAGGGUUACAGGACAUUCUUACAUGUAACUAGGGAUACAUGUUCAAGUUUCUAUUCAUUUGUUACAUGAUCAAGUCAUGUGACAAGUGAAAUAGCAACUUAGGUAAUAUAUGAUAUGAAUAUAGAGAUAUAUUUUUUACUACACUCAAGUUUUUUCUCAAAAGUCGAUGCUAAUUAACCAAGACUGAUUUUUUUGGGUGUAUUUUUGUUCAUCACCCUCAAAUGAUAGUAAUGCUCACCAACCUACUUAUUAUCAUUGAAUGAAUUUAAAUUUUGAGAUUUAUGUCUGUCCACUACACAGAUCUUAAUAUUUAAACUAUCAAACGGUUAUAAACAGAGUAUUAAGUAUUACCAACACUUGAAGGUGGUGAGCAAAAAUAUUUCCGAUUUUUGGAUCUCACAAUCUGCCCAUUCAUGCAUUUUCCUAAAAUAUUAAGUGAAACUUUACCCUAAGUACUUAAAGGUACUUUAAUUAUAUGAAUUAUUUGCUGAGCAAUGACAUUAAACAAUUCAAUUAACAAAAGGAGUUUUCCAAAUGCUUCCACUUUCAUCGAAAGGAUUUGGAUAAUGUGUAACCAGACGGGUGUCAAGAACAUGCAUGCUUUACAAACACUGGUUGGAAGAAUUAAAAGGUCAAAUACUGUGAGUUUGGUACCAAACGGAUUUCAGUUGUCUUCAAGUUCAGAUGGUCUUGGUUUUUUGUCCAACCACUACAAAAUAUCCUUCAAACAACUUUUCAUCUUUGUCUCUCAAAUGCAUUCCACGUGCCCUCAAACCCUUGUUUUCUUUAUCCAACAUGCAUCAACUUCAAAUAUUUUUUACCAAAAAAUUAAAAACAUGAACUCCAAUUUGUUCGAUCACCUUCCUCUCAAGUGUACAAGGAUAAAUAAUCUAUUUUUUGCACAACAAAAAGGGCGGCUUUGCCUUUUCUUUUCUUGCCUUUCGGCUUUGAGUCUUGACACAAAAUGCAAUAUUGUAAAGGAUCUUAGGUGACUAGUAAAAAAGCAGUCCUUGCACAUAAAAUAAUCUAGUUAAAUUAUUUUUGACGUGUGACUAUAAUACUUUGUGAUUUUCAUUGAUUUGAAUUCAAUUAGAGUUUCUCUGAACUAAAACUUCACAAGUAUUGAUCAUUGAGCUUGUAAUAAUGUGAAACAAUUGUCAUUUGGCUUACUCCGUUAUAAUUUCCUUCCAUUUUUGCCCAUUUAAACCCUUUAUUUUGGAUGGAAGUUCUAACAGAGUUAACGAAAAUGACCAUUGCUCUACAUUAUAACAAGUUCAGGGACCAAUACUCACAUAUUUUAGUUUAGGGACCAAAGCUCAAGUUGUGCCAAAAUUCAAGACCAUUACUCCGAUUCUCUAAACCAAAUAUAGUAGAAUUAUACUUUGAUGUGUAGUUACAAUACUCGGUUACUAUAAAUUAUUGAAAUAUUUAUGGGAUAAAUAAAAUUAAUAAAGAAUUAAGAUUUGUUUAUUUAAAUCUCACUCGUGCAUUUGACGUUGCAUUGAACUAUAAUGUGAUAUAUUGUAGAAGUUACCCAUGCUUUGUGUCCUUUUGAAAUUGAUGCAUUAAGCUAUUAACAAAGAGGAAGAAAGAAAGAAAUAGCUUGUAAAAAAACUGGAAGAAGAAAGAAGCUACAGAGAAUGAUGAACUUUUCAAUAUAUGUUUUGGAAGAUGAAAAGAUCCCUCCAAAUGCCUUACACAUUUCGUUUAUGUAGAGAAAACUAACCAUUACAAAAGUACAAUACUACCCUUCUCAUAUUCUUUAUCUUUCUAACAACCCAAUACUACUUAACAACCUUACAACUGUCUAACCAACAGUUACAACUGUAUAACCAACUAACCAACUACUAUGGUUAUUACUCCCCCCUCAAACUAAGCAUGGAGCAACCAAGCUUAGUUUGCUGAACAAUCGGUGACAAUCCCAAACCAAGGAACCGGCAAUGCUUCAAGAAAACAGGUCUAUGUAAUCCCUUGGUGAAUACAUCAGCAACCUGAUCGUCGGUUGGAAUAUAAUGAACACUGAUGUCACCUUUUUGUACCUUUUCUCUAACAAAAUGGUAAUCUGUAUCAAGGUGUUUGAUUUUAGAAUGAAAUACCGGAUUAGAACUUAAGGCAAGAGCUGACAGAUUAUCACAGUGAAGAGCAGGAGGCCGAGGAAGAAAACUGAUGAAUAUCUUUGAACACAGAUCGAAUCCAUGACACAUCAGCUGUGCAAUGUGCCAAAGCUUUGUACUCAGCUUCAGUAGAACUUCGGGAUACAGUGGAUUGCUUCUUGGAUUGCCAUGAAACAGGAUUAGAGCCAAUAUAGACCACAAAACCUGACAGGGAUCGUCGAGUAGUAAUGUCAGCAGCCUAAUCAGAGUCUGAAUAGGCAUUGAUGUGGAAAUUGUCACUUUUAGUAUAGCACAAACCAUAGCUAAUGGUUCCCUGAAUAUAGCGGAGGAUCCUUUUGACCAGAUGAAAAUGGGCAUCAGUUGGUGCUGUCAUAAAUUGACACACCAUAUUCACUGAAUAAGCAAGAUCAGGCCUUGUGAAAGUCAAAUACUGAAGGGCACCAACAAUACUUCGAUAUUGACUUGGAUCAGGUAAUAAUGUACCUUCACUAGCAAGAAUCUGUGUGUGUGGCUUGAAAGGAGUAGAUGUGGGCUUACAAGACUCCAUGCCUGCCUUUUUCAACAAAUCUGCGGCAUACUUGGAUUGGCUAAUAAACAGAGACCCAUCAUCAUUGUAAUGAAUAUGCAAACCCAAGAAAUAGCUCAAACGCCCCAUAUCUUUAAGAUCAAACACUGCUGCCAAGUUGUUGAUUAUGCCUUGUACCUUUAUGGAAUUGGAACCAGUAAGGAUGAUAUCAUCCACAUACAACAACAACAAAAUAAUAUCUUCAUUAUCAGUCUUGACAAAUAGACUUGAAUCAGAAAGAGAAGGUGUAAACCCAAGGGCUGGAAGAUAGCUUGUAAACUUAGAAUUCCAAGCCCUAGGAGCCUGUUUUAAACCAUAGAGGGAUUUCACUAAUUUGCAAACAUGAGUUGGAUUCUCCUGAUCAACAAAACCUUGGGGUUGCUGCAUAUAAACCUCUUCUUCUAACUCACCAUGUAAAAAGGCAUUUUUGACGUCCAAUUGGCGCAAAGACCAACCAAACUGAGCAGCAAGUGCAAGUAUAAUCCGGACUGUAGUAUGUCUAACAACAGGACUAAAAGUUUCAGAGUAGUCAAGACCAUGUUCUUGUGUAAAGCCCUGGGCAACCAAUCGGGCUUUGAAUCUGGAAAUAGACCCAUCUGGAUUCUUCUUGAUCUUAUAAACCCACUUACUACCAACUAUCAUUCGAUGUGAUGGAGGUGGAACUAAAAUCCAAGUUCCCUGAGCUUUGAGAGCAUCAAAUUCCUCCUGCAUAGCAAUCUGCCAUUCUUUCUUACUGGCAGCACCUUUGAAAGUUUUUGGUUCUUCAUGAUCAGAGACAUGAGCCAGAAAUGAGAAACCAGCAUGACAUGGAUUGAAACAUUGAUUAUCAGAACUACCAUCCAGUAGUUGUAAGGAAGACAGCUCAGGUAGGAAGGCCAGAUAGUUAGAAUAACUUUGUCUUGUGAUUGCACCUGAUUGUAACCUAGUCUGCAUCCCAUGAGAACGUAUCGGAACAUUAUCUGAUGCAUUAGAUGAAGAGGAAGCAUCAAAAGGUAGAACUACCUGUAACUGUGCAGGAUCAAUGACAGGAAGCAAGGGAAGUGUAUCAUUGUGAGAGGAAAGAGUAAAGCCUGGUGUUGAUGUUGAUUCAAUGGACUGAGAAUUCGAGACAACUGCAGUAUCAUUGUGAGAGAUAGAUGGAGACUGAUGUCGAUGUAUAUUGACCUCAGCUGACCUAGAAGCUUGUGCAAGCACCUGAGACUCAUGCAUUGGACUAUUGACAUGCUCUCUGUGAUAUAAAGGAACCGGUAUAAUCACUGGUGUACAUCUCUGUGAGUCAUGACUUUGUACCCCACUUGACUGAACUGCCUUAGGUAAUUUCCCAGGAAAGCAUGAUUCAUCAAAACACAACAUGUCGAGAUAUAAACACACUUCCGAGUUUGCAUAUUAAAACAGAUAACUCCUUUAUACCCCAUAGAAUAGCCCAAAAAUAUAUACACAUAGCAGAUCUGGCUUGCAAUUUAUUUGCUGCAUAUGGUCUUAACCAAGGAAACACAGCUGAACCAAAAAUCUUGAGUGAGUGUACAUCAGGGAUUUUCCUAUAUAGCAUUUGAUAAGGCGAGGACAAAGCAAGAAUCUUACAUGGCAUUCUGUUAAUCAAGAAGACAGAGUGUGCACAUGCAAAAUACCAAAACUCAGAAGAUAAACCAGCAGCAUUGAGAAGUGUGAUUGCUGUUUCAACUAUAUGGCGAUGUUUCCUUUCUGCCACUCCAUUCUGUUGUGGAGUGUAUGGACAAGAAAUGAAUGAACUUAUACCCUUGCUAGCUAGAAAAUCAGUAAAAGCUUUACUAACAUACUCUCCCCCACCAUCUGUUUGCAACCCUUUGAUGUGCACCCCAAAUUGAGUAAAGACAAAAUGAUAAAAUCGCACAAAGAUUUGAAAUACAUCUGAUUUAUUACUCAUCGGAAAAAUCCACACGUAUCUGGUAUAUUCAUCAAUUAGAGUUACAUAGUACCUAUAACCUUCUAAGGACUUCACAGGAGAAGGACCCCAAACAUCGGAGUGUAUUUUUUCAAAAGGAGAAGUACAAGUAACUGAUCUAAGUGGAAAUGGAGUUCUAGACAUUUUCCCUUGAAUACAAGACACACAAACACUAGACUUACUAUCUCUAUCAGCCACAAUAUUCGACUUUUGUAACAUACAACUCAUGAUUUCAGGAGUAGGAUGCCCUAAUCUCUGAUGCCAUGUAUCACAUUUGAUAGCUUUACCCACAUAAGCAACUGGACUACUUGUAAUCGACUGUACUCCUCUCUGCCUUUGCACAACCGGAAUCUGGAACAAUUCUUCAGGCUUACUCUUUCCUUGAUACACUAUUUCCCUUGUCUUCUUGUCCUGCACAAAGAAUUCAGAUUCAUCACAUAUAAACCAGCUCUUAUUGUCAGCACAGAGUUGUUUCACAGAUAAAAGACUACGCGCAAUAUGUGGAACAUGUAAUACUUUGUUGAGAAUAAGAGAGUGAUUGUUAGUUUGUAAAGUAGUUGACCCAAUAUUUUGGAUCGAUAGAUCAGUACCAUUGCCAAUGGUGAUUUUGUCAGAACCCUCAAAAGGUGUGACAUGAGUCAAGGAAUUAACAUCCGCUGUCAUAUGAUGAGAUGCACCUGAAUCAACAAUCCAGGCAUCUUGAGGAACAAAUGGUGUUGUUUGUUGAGCCUGCAUUGCAGACAAUGAUGAGGGUGGAAGCUGCCCUUGAUAUGAAUAAUUGCUUCGUUGAUAACAAUCAAGUGCUGAAUGUCCUCUCUUGCCACAGAUUUGGCAUUCAACAACAUAGUUUGAAGGAGAAGAAUUGAUGUUCCUCUGAUAACAGUUGGCUGCAGUAUGCCCCCUUUUGUUACAAAUCUGACACUCUAUCACAGCAUUUGUCCUUGUAGAAGUACUCCCAGACCAAGAAUUAUUACCAUUUGGCCGUGAGUUGCUGGAACCAUAUCCUCGUCCCCUGAAAGUGUUAUUAUUCCUGUAAUUAUUGCCUCUGUAUUGACCCCCAUGUGAUGCUCGAGGCCCAAAUUGAGCUCCUACAUUAAGCUGUGCAGCAUGAUUAUGUGGAUCACUAGGAUGACCAAUAAAACCAUAUCCAUACGACUCACCAGGAUACAUAAGAGAUUGUGAUGGUGAAAGAUAACCUGCUGGAUAGUGUGAAGGAACAGGAUAAACAGGGUAUUGAAAUGGUGGUAAAGGCAAAGACUGAUGUCCUGCAGUUUGAGGACCCUGAGAAGUAGAACCAUAUGGCACCGCAGUAAUUGUUCCCGCAGUACUGGCAGGAAUAUGAUUAUGAGCCUGAGAAUUUGAAGAUGAAGCAGAACUUGAACCAGUGCUUAAACUCGAACCUUGAACAUAUAACGCAGACAAAUUCUGAGACAAAGCAUUAAUCUCUCCUUCAAUCUCCCUUUCUGCCCCCAAUAAUUGUGCUCGAAAUUCUUUUAAAGAAAUAGAUGACUCUCUGGCCAAAAUGACUGUACGAAUAUAGUCCCAUAUUCCUUUGGCAACCCAGCAAGCCCAGCAAUUAUGACAUCAUUGUCAGAUACAGAUUCACCUGCAGCAGUGAGUUGAUCCCUAAUACCUUUCAACUUCAAGAGAUACUUAUCAAUUGUAUCAGAUCCUUUUUGAAUGGUAUGUAACUCAGUUUUGAGAUGGUUGACCCGAGACUUAGAAACAGAUGCAUAUCUAUCAACCAAAUUGACCCACGCCUCAUGAGCAGUCCUACAACCAAGAACAUACUCCAUUGCAUCAUCAGUUAAAGUGGCAAGAAGUAAACUAAGCAACGCCAUAUCUGUAGACUCCCAAUCCAUAAACGCCUCAGUAAUCUCCUUUGUAACCCCAGCCUCUGGAUUAACCACAUACUUUGAUGGACACACCGUUGUGCCAUCGAAAUGACCAAACAACUUAUACCCCCUCAAAACAGACUGAAAUUGAAAUGCCCAUUUGGCAAAAUUAUCAUCUCUUAGUUUGAUAGUAAGCAUACCCAAGAUUCCAUCGACUUUAAAAUUUGGACUACCCAUGAUUAUCUUCAAGCAACAACAACUAAUUACCAAUUGAGAUUAUGCACAGAGACUGACACUCUGAGAAGAAAGACUAACACUUUCUUGAACUCACAACUUCUUGACUUAGAAGGAAUGACACCUUCUUGAAUGCAUGAAAGAAUGACACUUCCAGCAAAAACAAUGCGUUCUAAUUAUCGCAGCAAAUCAACAUAUACAAAUCAACAAAAGAACCCAACUCUAUCAAAUCAUUACUCUGCUUAAACUGAAAAAACGAAAGAACCAUAAACCACCUGAACCGAAAUCGAAAAGAAAACCAAUCUUGCUCCAAUCGCACACCAAUGAAGCAACGAACAUCCACCAAACCGAACCCCCAAUGAAGCGACGAACAGCAGCGGAGCACACCAGGAUCACAAUCGGUGACUAACGCACACCGGCGAUGAUACCAUAUUAACAAAGAGGAAGAAAGAAAUAGCUUGUAAAAACUGGAAGAAGAAAGAAGCUACAGAGAAUGAUGAACUUUUCAAUAUAUGUUUUGGAAGAUGAAAAGAUCCCUCCAAAUGCCUUACACAUUUCGUUUAUGUAGAGAAAACUAACCAUUACAAAAGUACAAUACUACCCUUCUCAUAUUCUUUAUCUUUCUAACAACCCAAUACUACUUAACAACCUUACAACUGUCUAACCAACAGUUACAACUGUAUAACCAACUAACCAACUACUAUGGUUAUUAUAAGCUACCUGUGUCCUUUACAAGAUGCCCUUGUUCAUUCAAGCAUUUUUUCACAAAGCAUACACCACCAUGCCCACCUUCAGAUUCUACUUCUUUUAUCUGGUAAACCUAAGAUUCUACCCCCAAUUUUUCGAAGUUACCAUACUUUUCUCACUUUCCCAUAUUCUUUUUGGAUACCAAUGGUGAAACUUGUUUAUGUUUCAGCUAUAUACAGAAUCAUAACUGACAAUAGAUGGUUGAUGAACCAAAUUUUCGUGCCUAGUGCCCUCCGAUUUUAUUUUGAUUCAAACUUUGUCACACGUUCUAUUGGGAAACACUAAGCAGAAAUUAGACAAUAUAUAAACUACUUUUGAGUACUUCCUUGAUAUUCCUCAAUUUUUAUUGUUAAUUAAAUGCAUGUAACUGAUUUUAUUUAGUAUGAGACAUUUAAAUAUAAUACAUACCAUAUAAACCACGACCUAGUGGUCCUUAACUUCCUUUAAUACACGCUUUUUUGUUUUUAAAAAAGGGGAACAACUGCUGCCAAGCUACGGUUAUCCACCAUUUCCGGUGGUCAGGAAGACUCAUGCUUUUUUAAUAUACGCUAAUGUCCUCCAAUUGUUUUGAUUAUUAUUAUUAUUAUUAUUAUUUGCAACCCAUUCUAUUUGCUCAUUUUUCUCUCUCUAUAUUUUUUGGUUUGGGAUGACAAUUCUACCCAUUAAACUCGAUAACCGUGGAUAACCGUCCGAAUGAAUUGGAUUUGGGUAUGAAAAUUUGGGUAUGGGGAAAAACCGUGAUUAUUAUUCGGUUAUGGUUUUGGAUAUGGUUAUAGGGGUCCCCAAACCGUAUCCAUCCCAAAUCCGAACCAAAUAAUAUAUAUUAUAUAUAAUACUAAAGUAUUAAAAAAUAAAUAUAUAUAUAUAUUUAUUUAUUUAUUUAUUAUUCACCGAAUCCAUUACCUUGAGAAUAUAAAAAUUGCAUUGCGUGAGGUGCAUUUUGUAGAAAAGUUCAAAAGUUUUAAUAUGAAUCCAAAUCUAUGAGAAUUCAAUGACACUUAUGGGAGAUAUCAAAGAUCAAACCAACAUUAUCAAUGUUUAGCUUUAAUUUUUAUGCUUCACAACAUCCAUUCAUUAAAUCAAUUUAUACAUCAAAUAUUUAAUGAUAAAAUUAAUAUUUACUAAAUUAUCAUGCAUCAAUUGAAUGAAUAUAUUUUUUUAUUGACAAAGAUGAAUAUAACCGUUAACCGAUGGAGAAUCCGUUACCCAGUGAGUAUGGUUAUGGAUAAUACCCGAUGAUUAAUUUGCGGUUAUGAAUAUAAUUAGUUUUCGUGGUUAUGCGGAUGGAUAUAGUAUUUCCGUCCCCAAAUUUGAACCGUUGCCAUCUCUAUUUUUGGGACAUUUAGAUCUGGAUCCAAAAAAUCAAUUAGGUUAAGUCCAUUAUUAUCUUUUCUCUAUUUUUAUUUUUUUUAUACUCAUAUUAUAUUUUGUAAAAAUAUUAGAGAUUAAUUAAAAUCUUCUAAUUUCAAUAAAUCUGCUUAAUAUCUUUUAACAAAAAAACUAAUAUAGUAAUACAAAUCCAUCCACAGAACAUACGACCAUAGCUCCAAUAACAAAUAUACGAAUGUAUAUUAUACAUAUAACAGAGAUAUGAAACCUUACUAAAAUGUACAAAAACAUAGUAUACUUACGAGCAAGACAAAUUAAUAUGUGAUUGGUUGAUUAUAAAAAAGAAUUGUCAUAUAGGUAGAUGAAUACAAUUAACUUAUGGUAUAAGUUGAUUAUAAAAUUUUAGAGUAGUAGGAAAAACAAAAAUAACAUGAAAAAAAGAAGAAGAAUAAUUAAAGAGAUAAUUAGAAAAAAAUUUAAUUUGUCUAAUAAAUUUUAAUCAUUAAAGAGAUAAUUAUUGACGAUAAAAUAAGGAAAACUAAUGAAAAAUACUUGAAAACUUUGAGUUUUAAUGAUAAGGACAAAAUAAAUGAUAAAAUGAAUAGUACCAGGAUUGUCUUUUUAGGGUAAAAAUGUGAUUUUUCGUUAAAAUAAUAAUACCGGGAGCUUUUUGUUAAAGUUCCCAAUAAAAUAAGGCCUAAACUUAAAGAAUUAGACUUAUUUUAAUAAAUUAGAGUAUUCUUAAUAUUGGGUUAAAAACUUGUAAAUUAUAGAGUAAUGCUAUUCAUACCAUGUUUUUAUACCACAUUUCUAUAUCACUUUAGGUGGCAUUUGAUGUGAAUAGCCACAUCAUUUGAAAAAUUUGCAAAACCCAAGGAAAAGAAAGAGAAAGACUUCUCGUAUACCAUAAUCAUCAUUUAAUUAACUAGUUUUUCUUAAUUAUUAGUUUAUUAAAUAAUGAACUAAAUUUAAAAAUCUGAUUAAUUCAAAUGAUGUGACUAUCCACAUCAAAUGCCACCUUGUAUAAUAAAAAUAUGGUACAAAAAUAUGAUAUUUACUGUAACUUGUAUCAACUUUCCUAAUCCAAAAAAGUGAGAGAAACUAACGUGAACCACCUGACCGUUAAGUUAUCCGGCGCCAAAUAUUCGUUGGUUCCCUCUCGUCAAAAAAUCCAAAGAAGCCAUUUUUUAAAAUUUUGGAGACACUCCGAAGCUAUAUAAUCUCAUUCGAGCUGUAAGUCCCCACGCUACCCCUCCCACUUCAAUCUUAACUCUUCCUCCUUCCUUUAACUUUUUCCCAAUGGAGAGUAGCUUCUCUUCUCCCCGAAACGAUACUUUUCCUGCUGGCCUCCGGGUCCUCGUCGUCGACGACGAUCCCACUUGGCUUAAGAUCUUAGAAAAGAUGCUCAAGAAGUGCUCCUACGAAGGUUAUUUCACGCUAUCUCAGUUUUCUCACUGUUCCUCUGUUUCGAUCACUCUUUAAAGUUCCAACUUUGUUGUUUUUUUCUUCUCUAUUUUCUGGAAAUUUAUAGUUUUCCUGAAUGUUUUGGUGUUUUUGGAGAUGGAUUUUUUGAGUUGUGGGUUAAUUUUGGUGGUUCUUACUUAUUAGUGGAAUUUUGAUCAUAUUUGGUAAUUUAACCACUGUGUUUGUUGUAAGCAAGGAUUUUUAAUCUUCCCAGAAGCAGCAGUUUAGUUAUCGAUUUUUUGAUUUAAGUAAACGGAUAAGCAGAAUGAUCAGGGUUUACUUGAGAUAGAGUAUUUGAUUGUCUUUACAGGCUGCUAUGCAGGAGGAUAAUGAUAAUGUGUUUCCGUUAAUUAGUUAGUUUAAUCAAAUGGCAAAUACUUUAUUCUGUAUCGAAUAUAAACACGUAAAGGUGUUUGAUUUCAGAUAACUGGAGUAUUCUUUGGUGCCUCUGGUAGUGUACUUAUAGAAUUAUUUCCUUUUCUUUUUGAUGUUUGUUUCAACUACACUAAUCAAAGACCAUUUUUAGUCUAUUUAUGAUCCUUGCUCAAUAAAUUUUCGUGGUACUUCAUAUGGGGAACUGAAGUAGUUACUUUGGUUAUGUUGGGGGAUAUUCUCAUGUAUGAUUACUUGUAUAUGAUCUAAACAAGUAUAGAAGUCUUCCAUUAUUCAUAUAGAAAAGGAAAUCCGUUUGUCUUACAGGAUUUUAUUUUUGUCCGACUGUCAGACACGAUGCUUUGGCCAGUCUGAUAAUAUAAUCAGCUGUCGAAUGAUAACAGCAUCCAUUAAUUUUCAUUAUUUCUGAAGUUUUUUCCCUCCCUUUUUUGUCUGUGUUUCAGUGACUACAUGUGGUUUGGCAAGAGAUGCUUUGCACUUGCUUCGCCAAAAGAAAGAUGGAUAUGACAUUGUUAUCAGUGAUGUGAACAUGCCUGACAUGGAUGGUUUUAGACUUCUUGAGCAUGUAGGACUUGAGAUGGAUCUUCCAGUUAUUAGUCAGUACUCUGCCGUUGACCAAUAAAGCUUUGUCUUCAAAAGAAAAACGUCUGUCACCACUUAAUUCUGACAUAUCAUAUCCGUUUUACCUGUGCAGUGAUGUCUGUUGAUGGAGAAGCGAGUAGGGUUAUGAAAGGAGUUCAACAUGGAGCAUGUGAUUAUCUUCUUAAGCCGAUAAGAAUGAAAGAACUGCGCAAUAUAUGGCAGCAUGUCUUUAGAAAGAAGAUACAUUAAGUCGUUGAGAUUUUACUCUUUGAAGUUUUUUGUUUUGAGAGCAUUUUUUAUCCAAAUAUUUUUGUUUAAGCUUGGUGACACCAAAAACAAUAUUCACCAUUUGUGUUCUCUUUAUAUCAAUCUAAUAAUAACCCAAACAAUCUUAUAGGAAAGCAAUAAAUAUAAUAUUUAUUUAUCUGCGCUACAAGUUUACAGUUUCAUAUUUUUUUCAACUUAUUUAACUGACGAGUUUGAUACAUAAAACUAACUGAUUAUGUGAGUUGAGCUAAGUCUCAGACAACUUAGAGUAUAAUAUCAUCAUAUAACAGAAUUAGUAUAAAUAUACGUCACAAGGAGCAACAUUUUAGUAUCCAGCUCAAUAUAAUUACAUUUUUUGCAAAAAAAAAUUAGUAUAAAUAUACGAGUUUUUUUUAAAGUAUUUUUCAAAAGACUAAAGGCGUUUUUGGUUAAAAUAGUUUUGGAAUAAAUCCGUAAUAAUACAAGUGAAUUUUGAAAAAACAAUUGAAGUGUUUUCUGCAAAAAAAACUCAUGACUGAUGCUUAAAGUACUUCAAGUGCUUUUAGAAUCCAACAUUUUUAUUAAAAGUGUUUUUAAUCAUUUUAAAAACAUUUUCAAACGAACCAUAUAUAUGUAUGACUCAAUAUGAUAUCCAUUCCAAUUAAAUAGACAAUGGGUACUGACUACUGAGUGAUGCUGGACUAACAAAUCAUAUCCACUUUGAGCCUUAUUUUUAAGUUUAACUAGAUUGACGAGAAUAAUGUAGUUUCCUUCUUUAUUUAGUUCGAACUCUUUUCGAAAUUUUAGAAAAAAUUUGGUAUAGAAAUAUUUGUAUGCAAAUUUAUGUGUGUGUUAUUAUGGUGGGUUUUUAUUUGUGUGUGUGAGAGUGGUUCAUCUCAUCUGCAAUCAUCUGAUGCCACUAGAUCAAGGGUCCACAUUUGGAGGCUUAUCCAUGUACUGAAACAUAUCAGGUGGAGAAACCCAUUUGGAAAAGCAAUAUAAAACUUGGCAUUAUUAAAGUAUUAUUGUGAAUAUAUACAAAUAAAUUCCUUAAAACUUGGUCAAUUAAUCUCUAGAAUUAGGGUCCACUAUCCAUCAUUAGAAAACUAAAAAGAAAGGGGGUCGAAUCAUAUUUUAUUCUUGUGGGUUUUUUAUACUUAAAUUAUUAUUGUUGGUUUGUCGUUUUAUAUUAUAGUGCAAUUGUUAUUUGUAAGGAAAAUGUCUUAUAUUCGAUAUAAUGAGUUUAGUAUAAUGUACUGAUAUUCUUAGUCAUUUGUAAAUUAUACGUGAAUAUCUUAAAUUUGAAUACGGCAAAUUUGGUCCUAAACUGUAUGACAUAGUCAUUGUGUACUUUAGUUUAAGUCUUCACACGAAACAUAAUAUAAUAAAAUAAUUGCAUUGGUUUUCCCCCUAUUGUAAUAUAUUCAUUUUAAAGCAAAUUAUUAUGGCAUAUGGGUUUUAAUGAUCCAUGACUCUUUCUUUCUCAUUUUUUGCCAAGUGAAACCUUUUGUCUAACAGAAACAAAAAGAAAGAAAAAAGGGAAAAAGAAAGAAAAGAAGUUAUGGAAAAUCCAAGUGGAACAUCUCUUUAGAAGGAAAUAUUUUUUAAUAUACCGAGAACACGACUCGAUACACUAUAUGUCAAAAGAAAAUUAAUUAGAUACUUGAAAAAAUCACGUGUAUUAUAAUCUUUACUACUACAUAGCUUUUAAUGUUACGAUAAUUGUGUCGUUGAGAUUUUACUCGUUACAUUUAACGGUGCGGAUACAAAUUUUGGGAGAAAAUGAAGACGCCUGCUAACUGUUUCGUACCCAAGACAAACCCUAGGAGGGAUAAAAUUCAUCUGUAUAAGAACAUAGGUGAUAAUAUUAGCAGCGGACAAAAAACCACUUGAAUUCCAUUAUUUGAUUCGAAUUUCAACUAAGAAAGUAUAAUCUUAAACUGUCUUCCAAAAAAAAAAAUAAACAGUAUAAUCUUAAACCAAUUGAACCAAACCACAAUCAAUUAAUUUGGUUUCAUUUGACCUUUUAAUAAACCGUCCAAUAUUUAAUUUACGACAACUUUUUUUUUUAACAAACAAUAUUAAAAAAAGAGGAUGUACUUAACCUCACAAUGGACUAGCAAUAAUGUGGUUCAAAUUCACCUGUAGUAAGAAUCGAACCUAAGAUCUCUUACUUACAAAUGAAAAGAAAUACUACUAUACCGUAGUACUAAGUGGCAAUUUACGAUAACUUCCACACAUGUAAGAAAAUUUAGUUGCGUUGUGCCAGUUUAAUUCUUGAACUACACCAAACCAAAUUGUGAUGCUAACGUUGAUUCAGUUGUGAUUUGAGGCAUAAACUUAAUCGAACUCAACUCAACUCAACCAUGCUCACUCUAAAUACAUGUACAUAUUUACAUAACGUAUUACAACUAAAUAUGCAAUGAAGUUUAUCGACGAUAUUUUAACAAUCAUAUCAACCGCAUAUUGAUAACUAUUAAGUCAACGCAUCAAGGCAACAUUAUCAAAACUUCGUGUUACAUAAAAAUAUCGCGGUUAAUUGUAAGGUAGAAAAAUAUGUUAACUACCCAUAAAUAUGAUAUAUUUAGUAUGAAGCUCACCCUACGUGAGAGAUGUAAUUAACAAUUUGUCGAAGCUUAUAUAAUCAUAAUAACAGGCUCUUUAAGGAAAUGGAUCUUCAUUUUUCAAAAAAAAAAAGGGACAUCCUUUAGACCGUUAGAUCUGGCUUUAAUGAAAUUAUGUGGUUGAGAUUAAAUCACAGGCCACAGAAUCUCAACAAUAUAAUUUCAUUAAAGUUAGAUCUAACGGUCAAGAGAGUGUCUUUUUUUUUUUUAUUUAAAUGAGGAUCCAUUCCCUUAAAGGCUUCCAUCAUAAUAGUAAACAAUUAAAAACGUAACCGGAAACCUGGACGAUUAUGAAUAGACAACGAUUGUCUGUCCUUCCACUUCUCGUGCCCUUCUGUUUGUGUGGUCACGGUUAAGCCACAUCAACAUUUUAUAUUACUAUUCAUUUUUAUCUUAUUAUUUUUAUAAAAAAAUAAUAUAAAAUGUUAACGUAACUUAACCGUGAUCACACAAAACAGAAGAGCAAGGACAUAAGGAGUAAGAGGACAGACAAUUCUUGUCCAUUGUGAAAAGCAUCUUUAGUGAAAGAAAAGGAAGCAAGAUUAAAUAUCCUCUUUUGCUUUUAAAAUUGGCUUUUGCUUUUGCUUUUGCUUACAGCGAAAUAUCUUUUCCUUUCUGAUAUGCCCUUUGGACCAACUUGUUUCCAGCUUUUCUCAACUUCGAAAAAGUAUGAAGAUGAUGCCUUCAUGCCUUCCUUUUCUGUAUUGGAUGCAUACAAUCCAUCCUCUAUUCCUCUGGUCCACCAUCUCUAUAAUCAUCAAUAACUAGCCUUUAGCGCGUGCAUGUGAUAUUUUUUAAAUUACGACAUGCUAUGUGCGAUUUAUAUAUUUUAAAUGUAUUUAUAUACGUAAAUUUAAUAAAAAAAAAAUUAAAUAUUUUAAGUAAAUGAAUAAUUUUAGAUCAUACUAAAAGAAACCUCUUAUAAACCAAUUAAACCAGUUGAAUUCAUAUAAUAAAAUUGGUCUCUAUAAAUUUUAUAAUAAGAAAAGAGAAAAAAAAAUAUUUAAUGAAUAAUUGAUUGAAUUACAUUAUUAGUAACCCACCCCCCUUUCCCCUUAAUAUAGAUACUAAUAUUUUGUUAAAAAAAAUAAUCAUUUGACAACUAAUUUAAUCACAUUAUUAUCAGCAUGUGAAAGUGUCACAGCCCUUUCCGGAAUUUUCAUAUUCGUGGAUAUGAAAUGACGGAAUUGCCCUUAACGGUUGCUAAGGUACGUGUGACACAUAAGUUGAUUAUUGUAUACUUUCCUAAGUUUUUUUUGGAAAAAAAAAAAUCAAGUUGGAUUAAGAGUUGUUUACAAUUUGUGUGGUUAGGGAAUUAAAGUAUGGUUGUUUUGGGUGGACCACACACACACGGGACAUACCCUCACCACGUGCCCUCUCUCUCCUCCCUCACAGUUCACUCUCUCUUCCUCCCUUCGAAUUGUACGGACAAGGCACCAAACCCUCAAAUCUUCACGGAUCGACGCCAAAAAGGUGAGUUUCUUCAUCCUUGCAACCUCUUGAGUUGAGGUACCAUUUUUAGAACUGGAAACCUUCGAAAUCACGUCAAACCUGUAACCCAUUUUGAAAUCAUUGUUCAUGCACACGUGAAAUGUGGAUUUUCAGGGAAUUCUAAGCUUACAGGGAACUUAGUGAGGUCCCAAGGAAGCUCGGAGCUUAGUUUGAAGGUUUUGGACGUCGGGAUCGUAGGGUUCGAUGUUGUAUUGAUGAUGUGAAUUGUGUUGAGAGCUCAUAACAUGCACCCUGGUAUUAGUGCUUAUAUUGUUCACCCCGCACCACACGCUCACUUUGGAUUCAAAUAGGUGCAUGUCGUAUAGACCAUUAGAGGGUUCCGACAUGUCGUACAGACCAUUAGAGGUGGUUCCGACUUGUAGGUGAUUUUAGAUUAUUAUACAGCUAUUGAUGAGAGAAGCACUAGAGCGUAUUCCUACACCUUUCUUAUCGUACAGACUACUUCAGGUAGUUCCGAUUUAUGUGCACAGUAGCGCCGUACAGGUCACUGUGGUGACUCCGGUUGGUUGGAUAUUGAGCUAUAGAAUUAACCGUACAAGAUAGUUGCAGGGUUUCCGGUUGAUUCAUUAUUUCACUUGUUAUAUUGACGCAUUCUUAUUAUGUUGUUGACGUUUAUAGCAUAGCAUACUUUCUGGUUUUUGAUAAAGAUUGGUGAUUUGAGAUAUUUGAAGAAUUAUAUGCAUAUUAUGUUAUUUUAUGGGAAAGUAUACAGGUUUUACAGCGAGGGGUUAGAAAUGUUAUAAAAUGAAAUGUUUUCGAAAAGCUUGUUUUACUGACCCACUCAAUCUUGUCUUGCACCCCUCCAGGUUCUAGUUAGCUGUGUUGGUGGCUCACGAGGAUUUUCCCACGGCGUUCUGACAGACUACUUAAAUGUAGGACUCACCUUCGAGUGUUGUAAUUUGGUAAUGGUCCUACUUGACUGCACUUAGUACUUAUGCUCUGAAUAUGUGUGUUUCACACUUAAACUCACUCUAGCAUGUUAGUUGUAUAUUAUUGCUAGUAGUUGGUUUUUAUUCCUUCAUAUUUCUCUUAUCUUAUUACUUCAGCGUCGCACUUUUGGUUACGUCAUACUCACGUGACGGCCAGCACGCCUUGAUUCUAGGAUCAGGGUGUGUUAGAAAGAUUUUUUUAUAACUGGCAUUACACGCCCUUUAAGAUGUUUUGAACUUGUUUAAAAAUAGAAAAAUUGAAUCACAUUAUUGUUAGCCUAUUGUGAGGUACUAUUUAAAAAAAAAAACAUCACAAAAAAAUUAAAUGUUAAAAAAAUAUUAUUAAAAUGAUGAAACUGCCCUGGUCUUAUUUGAUGCAUUAUUUUGAAAUGCCUUUGAAGUUUUUUGUCUUGAGGGCAUUUUUAUCCAAAUAUUUUUGUUUAAGCUUGGUGACACCAAAAACAAUAUUCACCAUUUGUGUUCUCUUUAUAUCAAUCUAAUAAUAACCCAAACAAUCUUAUAGGAAAGCAAUAAAUAUAAUAUUUAUUUAUCUGCGCUACAAGUUUACAGUUUCAUAUUUUUUUCAACUUAUUUAACUGACGAGUUUGAUACAUAAAACUAACUGAUUAUGUGAGUUGAGCUAAGUCUCAGACAACUUAGAGUAUAAUAUCAUCAUAUAACAGAAUAAAAAUAAAAUUUGAAUCUAAUAUAUGAAAAAAAAAAAAAAAAAACUUGAAAGUGCUUCUUAAAGAACAAUAUGGGUAAAUUUUUGAAAAGUUUUUAAGCUUUUAUGUGUCAAAUGUAUCUAGACGGUUUAGUUAAAAAAUAACACGUUUAGCACAAAAUAUAAGCAAAUAUGAUGAGUAGUGUUUAAAAUGCUCAAGAAAUAUUCUAAAAAUUAAAGAUCGAUAUGAAAAGGGGGUGAACUGCAAAAAUCAUCCUAUAUCGAUGAGAUAUAAAAAAAUCAAUGAAUAUCGAUGAUAUUUACAGAUUCACUAUAGAAAUUUGCCAUAACCUAUUGCAGAUUUUGAUCUUUUGAUUAUUUUUUUCUUUCUAAUUUCGACUAAAUUUGAAUGAGUUGAUAUACCCACCCUAUUGCAAAUUCCAUAAUUUCUGUUGAAGACAACUGAUAUCGAUAUAUCCAUUGAUAUUUUUAUAAAUUUAUAUAUUGAUGGUUCUACCUAUAUCGAUAUUUUAAAUAUAAAUGACCAAAUAUUUCCUAGGAGAAAUUGAACCCAGAUCCUCUAUGGAUCUAAAAAAACUGAGCCUAAGGAUCAAAUAAUUCGGACCGUUGAAAUUUGAUCCAACGGCUACAAAUAGGGGUUCCCUCUAAAAGUUAUAAUAAUUAUUGCCGUUAGAUCAAAUUUUAACUGUCCGGAUCAUUUGAUCCUUAAGCUUAGUUUUUUUUAGAUCUGGAGAGGAUCUGGGUUCGGAGAAAUUAAUUCAUUCUCAUUUGAGUAGAUAGAUGUAAAAUCACCAUUUACUGUGUACAAAGUUGUUGCGGACUUGCAGGGCCCAUCACACGAGAUGAUCUGCUUUGUAUCUCUAUUGGGCCCAGAUGUCUAUAUCAAGACACAACACAGCUAAAACUUCAAAGUAAAUGAUGGGCUGAAGUCCAUUCUAAGGGUCCACUAUGUCUGACACCUACACUUGGUCACUAUUAAUUACUUAUGGCCCCACACGCUAUACACGCAUCAACCAGUUGAGUCGUGGCGUUUUUUAAGGUGCGGACCGAACUUUGCGGCCCUUUAGUUCGGUAAGAAAUCCUCUUCAGAUCUAUUCUAUCAAAGUCUACUAGUUAAUUAAUCUGAAUUCUUGAAAUUUGAUUUAACGGUUAAAAUUAUUAUAAAUUUUAAAAGGAUCUCUUGUUUGUAACCGUUGGAUCAAAUUUUAAGGGUCCGAAAUAAUUGAUUGGUGGACUUUGGUUGAAGAGAUCCGAAGAGAAUCUAUUUCCCUUAAGUUCGGACCAAUUAACACCCAUUAAAUCGUUGACUUGCGAGCGGACGAUUGUGUAUCUACAUUUACAUCAACGACUCAAAAUCACUUAUAUUCGCAUUGGUAGGUCAUGCUAGCAUAAUUCAAUUCAUUAUGGUAAGAUAGUAACGCUAAGGAUGUGCGUAGCUAUCCACUAUUGAUGUCAUAUAUGCAAUAAUCUCCACUUAAGCAAUUACUAAUAAUUUAUUUGUUACAUAUAUUUUUUUUUUUAAAUUUCAGUGGUAUGAGAAAAAUUUAAUUGAUAACGAAAAAGUUACAUCUAAUCAGGAGAAUUUACCUACUACAUAAUAUUCUCUUUUAAUUUGUUCAUUUCACAAAUUAGUAAAAAAAAAAAAAGAGAGAGAUUGUAUAAGAAGAAGGCAUCAUGUCCUAAAAGUUAAAACUAAUAGGACUCGAAUUUUAACUUUUAAUUUUUUUCUUAAGAAAUUCUUGUUCUCAAUACAUUAUGCGUUUAUUAACACAUAAAGAAUAAAAAGUGAGUCAUAUGUGAAAGAUAUGUACUUCAUUUUCGAUUUCAACCUAUAAUACCCGUAUUACCCUCGUAUCAUUCGCAUACUUAAAAAUGUUAGUAAACAUAAGUGUGAUCGGUCAAAUUGUCAUGUAAUUUGAGUGAAAAUAUAAUUAAUUUUUAUGAGCGGAAUAUAUACUAUUAAUAAAACUAAGAUAUAUUAUAAAAUACCAUUACAUGGAUUACCAACAUAGAUUUAAGGAGGAGCUUGGUAGUUGAUACCUUGAUUAAUAAUAUCCGCUAGUACCAAAAGUGGGUGGUUUUAUUCUUUGACAACAUUGAUUAAGGAGGAGUUUAAUCCAAAGUAUCAAUUAUCAAAAGUCAGAGUUGGUCUUGGAGUUGGAUGGAAAGGGUAAUUGGGAAUCCAAACCUCCCUCGCUAAGUCGAUAAAAUAAUAUGAAGAGAAAACAUGAAAAUAAGAAUGAAAUUUUUUUCAAUGCAUCUGAAACACGGAAUAAUAGUCAUAAACUCUUUUUUUUCAAAUGUAUCUAUCUAUAUGAUAAUAACAUAACGUAUGAGCUCAGUGUUCUUAUCACACUAAUCAAUCUCUCAACGAGAAGGCAUCCCUUUCUUUCCUUGUAGUGUGAAAGGUUUGAUCACUAAGCAAAGCCUUUGCCUCUCUCUCUCUCUCUCUCUCUCUUCCCUGUUUUUCUUAUUAACCCCACCAUCAAAUGUCCCCAACCUGCAACAGAUUCACCAACAAAAACUAAAAAACAAACUAACUCCUACGGAAAAACAAAAGUCACUCUUUUCAUCUUAUCCCCCACCCUCUUUCCUCCCUCUAUUCCCUUCUCUUUCUGUUCUUCCAUCCCAAAAUUCAAGUGAGAAGAGAAAGAACAUAUGUGGCAAGCUCAUGCCUGCAAGUCUUCUUAUGGAGAAUCCAUCAAAGCUCUUGAAGCUGAUAUCCAACAUGCCAAUACCUUGUGAGUCUCUUUUUUCUCUAAUUUUUUUUUUUUUGUUGGUGAUCAAUCAAAACUGUGGAAUAAUCCAUAUGCAUUUUCCUCUUCUGGGUAGUUUGUUGGGUAGUUAAUCCAACUGAAUUGUGGUUGUUGGGUAGUGCUUAUCAUUUGAGAGAGAAGGUAAAGUUGGAUUUUUUUUUCCCUAAACAUUUAAGUUCGAUACUGUUUCCUUAAGGCUUUUUAUGUGAGAAAUUUUCCAGCUUUAUAUACAUUACUGCUUUUAUGUUGCCAAUUUAAUUGCUUCUCUGGAAAAAAAAGAAAAAUCCCACAGGCUGUUCUUAUUUUUCUACCCAAAUGAAGCUCAAAUAUUUUUUGAUUUUUUUUUUCCAUUUGUUUUUGGGAUGGAUUUUGUUGCAGGGCAGCUGCUCUUCCCAGAGAUUAUGGUGGGAACUGUAUCCAAAUGAGAUUGUCUUACAGCCCCUUUGCACCUUUCUUCCUGUAUCUCA